AAAAAAUGAUGACAACCUUUUCAUAAUAUAAAGCCUUUCGGGUCUGAAGAGCAUUAUGAUGAUAAAAAAAAAAAAAAAAACUGAUUUUUUUUUU
rnacentral:snoRNA from 1 species